UCCGUAGGUGGAUAAUUAAGUCAGAGGUGAAAUCCUGCAGCUCAACUGUAGAAUUGCCUUUGAUACUGGUUAUCUUGAGUCAUUAUGAAGUGGUUAGAAUGUGUAGUGUAGCGGUGAAAUGCAUAGAUAUUACACAGAAUACCGAUUGUGAAGGCAGAUCACUAAUAAUGUACUGACACUGAGGGACGAAAGCGUGGGGAGCGAACAGGAUUAGAUACCCUGGUAGUCC
rnacentral:rRNA from 1 species